ACACAGCAGGGACCAACGGAGAGUCAGGGUGUGUGUUUGGUGUUUUUAAUCAAGUAAAAAAGAAUAAUAAUUACUUAAUCAGUGUUUUAAAAAAAUACUACAAAUUUUAGGUGAUGACAUUCAGAUGAUUUGAAUUCCGGGAAUGCCCCAAGGUUGAAAAAAUGCAUUGGAAUGAAGUGAAUAGUCUUUUCAAAAGAAAACAAAAAGACUCUUAUGAUGGUGACGUGUCACAGAAGCAGGAGGGUCGAGAUAAAGAUAACAGAUACAGUUCAUCAUCACACUGUGAUAAUAAAGUGAGCCGUGUUUCACUGUUGCCUGAAGACAUUCCCACAAACACAGGUCCUCUAUUAUACUGGAAGUCAGUGAAAACAAUAAUAAAAAAAACAGAAGUGACCAAGCAGUAUUUAACAACUCAAUUACUACAGAGUUGGUAAACUUUCUAAAAAUUGACACCAAAUACUUCGUAUCAUUUGUCCCCAUGUAAAAACUGUUUGUUGUUGCUCCUCUACGAUUUUAAAAUAAAGAUGUGGAAAAUGUUUUCAAAUAUAUCGAAACUGGGAUGAAAUUUAAUAUAAUUCUGAAAAAGUUUGUUCUGCCUGCUCUUAGAGCCUGGUCGUGUAUUGUUUAUUAAACCGGAUGUGUAGGUUGACAGUGAAGCGCAGACCGGAAGUAUGCGUUGCUCGAAGGAGUGAUUGGAUACAUAAAUUAAAAUGACUUCGCUCCCUCCGACAGGAAACGUUCGUCCGUGUCUGUUGUUUUAUUUAUAACAAAGUAUAAGCGCCGUGAUACUCCGGUUAUAUAAUCAUAAUCACGGACGUAUACUGAGUGUACGGACAAUAAAACCCGCGCCUCUAAAAAUGUUAGUUCCAUGCGAUCCUCCACCACAUCCUCAGAAGCGAAAACGUUGGGGAACGUAAGUGGGAACAGGAAAAUCAAACAGACCGGUACGAAAUAAAACUGCUGCGGUCGCCUCGCCCCGCCCCACACGACUCGGCCCAAUCACGCUGUUAUUUGUGUUGUUACGUCACAAACAUGCGGCAAAACGGCGGUAGCGUCGAGCGACGUCAAACGCUGAAAAAGUGCGCCGCUCUGGUUAAAAGCCACAGGUGGACGAAGAAGAAAUUAAUGGCUGCUCGACCUGGUCCGAUGACUUUACCUCCCUGCUGUUGUUGGUGUUUUUGACUUAGUGAAUUAAUUUUAGCUAGAAUUUUGUCUAAGACUUAAAGUGGAGGGAAACUUUUUUAAAAACAGUUUGUUUCUCCGUUUUGCUUUGCUGAAACUGAGUUUUAAAAAUGGCUGACCCACAUGGUCACAGUAUGUUUGAUAUGCUGGGAUUGGAGACGAGUUGGAAGCUGUCCAGAGUCAGAGUCCACUCCUGAAACUCAAGACAAGAUUGAUCGUCCUGAAGAUCUUCAACACAGUAGGACCUUGGUUUUUCUUUUAUUCUGUGCGGCCGCCGCGCUGCUCUUGUGUCCCAACAGGCUGCCGUGCCUAGCUGUGUGUGUGUUUGAAUGUUUUAAACAUAGCAAAACGUCCAAAGGCUGACUUCCAGUAAUGGGUUCAGGGCCAUCGUAGUACUUCCUCUUGGCUGCCAUGCCUACCUGUCUACUGUGCUGUAGGCCCAGUGUAGCCCAGUCUGUCAGACACAUUUUUAGAUUUUUAAUUUAUAGGUCACUGGCAGUUUAUAUAAUCCCAGCAUACCACAAUUUUGAUCUCCGUUUGCUGCAACUUUCUACGUGUUUGACUUCCGUCUGAGGCAAUUUCCUACAAGAUUGACGUUCCAUUUGCGGCAAUUUCCUACAUAGUUGACGUUCCGUUUGCGGCAAUUUUCUACAAAGUCGACUUUCUGUUUUGCGGCAAUUUUCUACAAGGUUGGCGUUCCAUUUUGCGGCGAUUUUCCACAAGAUCGACGUUCCGUUUGCGGCAAUCUUUUACGCUUUUAGACGUUGUGAUCAUUUUCCACCAUUUUGGAUGUCCUGGUCUUCCUCCACCAUUUUGGAUAUCCUAGUCAUCCUCCACAAUUUCAGAUGUUGCGGUUGCUGUCCAGAGUGACUACCCAGUUCUCCAGCUCCACUGACCAAGAUGAAUGACGAGGACUCCACAAGUCGUGUAUUCCUACCAUUGUACCUUUUGUAAAUGUAUAUGUACAGUACAUGUAUUGCUUGCCUUUGUACCUUUUUGCUCAAUGUAUUUGCAUGACUAUUGAACUUUGUAAAUGUAAACUUAAGGAAUCUCUGGAUGUUUGUAGAUAUUGUGAUUCAUGUGAUGUUUGACUGAGUUCUCACUGGAUGUGGCCGUCACUGUCAGUGCUGUGAGUCUGUACUGCACUUCCUCUGUUCUACCUCUGUUCUUCCAGGUUUGUAUUAGCCUUAGGAUAUUUGGGAUACUGUAGAGUAAAUGAAAUGUGACUGUAAGGCUGGUGAGUUUGCUUCUGCUGUUGAUUUAAACAACCAACUUGU